AAAUUGAAGAGUUUGAUCAUGGCUCAGAUUGAACGCUGGCGGCAGGCCUAACACAUGCAAGUCGAACGGUAACAGGAAGCAGCUUGCUGCUUCGCUGACGAGUGGCGGACGGGUGAGUAAUGUCUGGGAAACUGCCUGAUGGAGGGGGAUAACUACUGGAAACGGUGGCUAAUACCGCAUAACGUCGCAAGACCAAAGAGGGGGACCUUCGGGCCUCUUGCCAUCAGAUGUGCCCAGAUGGGAUUAGCUAGUUGGUGAGGUAACGGCUCACCAAGGCGACGAUCCCUAGCUGGUCUGAGAGGAUGACCAGCCACACUGGAACUGAGACACGGUCCAGACUCCUACGGGAGGCAGCAGUGGGGAAUAUUGCACAAUGGGCGCAAGCCUGAUGCAGCCAUGCCGCGUGUAUGAAGAAGGCCUUCGGGUUGUAAAGUACUUUCAGCGGGGAGGAAGGUGUUGUGGUUAAUAACCGCAGCAAUUGACGUUACCCGCAGAAGAAGCACCGGCUAACUCCGUGCCAGCAGCCGCGGUAAUACGGAGGGUGCAAGCGUUAAUCGGAAUUACUGGGCGUAAAGCGCACGCAGGCGGUCUGUCAAGUCGGAUGUGAAAUCCCCGGGCUCAACCUGGGAACUGCAUUCGAAACUGGCAGGCUUGAGUCUUGUAGAGGGGGGUAGAAUUCCAGGUGUAGCGGUGAAAUGCGUAGAGAUCUGGAGGAAUACCGGUGGCGAAGGCGGCCCCCUGGACAAAGACUGACGCUCAGGUGCGAAAGCGUGGGGAGCAAACAGGAUUAGAUACCCUGGUAGUCCACGCCGUAAACGAUGUCUACUUGGAGGUUGUGCCCUUGAGGCGUGGCUUCCGGAGCUAACGCGUUAAGUAGACCGCCUGGGGAGUACGGCCGCAAGGUUAAAACUCAAAUGAAUUGACGGGGGCCCGCACAAGCGGUGGAGCAUGUGGUUUAAUUCGAUGCAACGCGAAGAACCUUACCUGGUCUUGACAUCCACAGAACUUUCCAGAGAUGGAUUGGUGCCUUCGGGAACUGUGAGACAGGUGCUGCAUGGCUGUCGUCAGCUCGUGUUGUGAAAUGUUGGGUUAAGUCCCGCAACGAGCGCAAC
rnacentral:rRNA from 6 species